GACGAACGCUGGCGGCGUGCCUAAUACAUGCAAGUCGAACGCAGGGGGGACGGGUGAGUAACACGUGGGUAACCUCCCAUCAGAGGGGAUAACACGUGGAAACAGGUGCUAAACCGAUACUGAUGGAUGGACCCGCGGUGCAUUAGCUAGUUGGUGAGGUAACGGCUCACCAAGGCCACGAUGCAUAGCAGGCCUAGGCGGGCGGUCUGCCACACUGGGACUGUGACACGGCCGAUACUCCUACGGGAGGCAGGAGUGGGGAAUCUGCGGCAAUGGACGAAAGGCUGACCGAGCAACGCCGCGUGCGUGAAGAGGGUUUUGGGAUCGUUAGACUCUGUUGUUAGAGAAGCGGUAUCUAGCCAGAAAGCCACGGCUAACUACGUGCCAGCAGCCGCGGUAAUAC
rnacentral:rRNA from 1 species